UUGAUUUUGAGAGCUGGAAAAUUAUUUUCUCAGAAUCUAAGAAAAGUGCUGGUUACUUCAGCAGAGUCUCUCUUCCAGAAUAUAAUGUUCCUCGAGAGCAACAAGAAAUGGAAAUUCAAGCUAACAUCUUUGCUUUUGGAGUAGUUUUACUGGAAAUAAUCAGUGGAAGACCUCCAUAUUGCAAGGAAAGAGGGUGUCUGAUAAAUUGGGCCACAAAGUAUCUUCAAAACCCAGAAGAGAUAAGUAAACUAGUAGA